rnacentral:misc_RNA from 1 species
UGGUAUUGAAUCAAAUCAAUAAAUUUAUCCCAUUAUCCUAAGACAUGUAGUCAUCAUUCCAUCUCCCACACACUCUGAUUCUCCUCUCAGCCGAUGGAGAAAAGAAAAUUCUCCUUCUAGCUUUCGGUUUGAUUUGUCUUUUUAAAAUUUUGAACCUCAAGCAACAAUGUAAGAGCAGCAGUUUUUUCAUAAAGGAAGUAAGUAUUUCCUUAGUCCCCCAUCCCCAAUCCAAAUUGCUCAGCAUAAAAUUUGUUUUGGCUAAUGGACAACAAGGAACAGGUAACUGAUGUUAAAUCAGUAGCAUCUAGCAUUGUGAAUACGCCAUAAAUAAAUACUUAAUAAGAUGGCUAACUGCAACUUAUUGAAGUUCCAGUUUUAGUUUAAAGCAACAUCAUUUUUGCAUUUAUAAAUUCCAAAUUGUGGCUUCAGCUUAACCAUUGAUUGAGCAUUCCCAAGAGAGAGAAAAGUUUACACUAGGUCUCUACAUUAUGUGAAUAAAUUGGCAUGUUCUUUUAAUAACAGGUCUAUUCUAAGACUAUUCCAUUAGUUAUAGAAUCAUCUCUCCCUCCAUAUUCUUUCCUGUAAUACCCGAAAGUGUUUUCUCACACUGACGAAAUUCAGUCCACAACUCACUGCCGGUGAUGCAUACUCAAAUUGCUAUAGCAUAAGAAGCUGAUUAAGAAUAUACAAUGCUGAUUCUGAAAAUUGGAAAAAAAAAGCAUCAAAAGAUAGAGAAAG